rnacentral:rRNA from 1 species
UGGGGAAUAUUGGACAAUGGGCGGAAGCCUGAUCCAGCCAUGCCGCGUGUGUGAAGAAGGCCUUUUGGUUGUAAAGCACUUUAAGCGAGGAGGAGGCUACUUGGAUUAAUACUCUAGGAUAGUGGAGGUUACUCGCAGAAAAAGCACGGGCUAACACUGGGCCAGCAGCCGCGGUAAUACAGAGGGUGCGAGCGUUAAUCGGAUUUACUGGGCGUAAAGCGUGGGUAGGCGGCUUCUUAAGUCGGAUGUGAAAUCCCUGGGCUUAACUUAGGAAGUGCAUUGGAUACUGGAGAGCUAGAGUAUGGAAGAGGAUGGUAGAAUUCCAGGUGUAGGGGUGAAAUGCGUAGAGAUCUGGAGGAAUACCGAUGGCGAAGGCGGCCAUCUGGCCUAAUACUGACGCUGGGGUACGAAAGCAUGGGGAGCAAACAGG